UACAGAGGUCCCAAGCGUUGUUCGGAUUCACUGGGCGUAAAGGGUGCGUAGGUGGCGAGGUAAGUUUGAUGUGAAAUCUCCGAGCUCAACUCGGAACUGCAUUGAAUACUAUCUUGCUAGAGGGUUGGAGGGGAGACUGGAAUUCUCGGUGUAGCAGUGAAAAUGCGUAGAGAUGUGGAGGAACACCGAUGGCGAAGGCAGCCCCCCCUGGGUCAAGAUUGACGCUCAUGCACGAAAGCGUGGGGAGCAAACAGG
rnacentral:rRNA from 1 species